CCGGGAAUAUUAGUAAUGGGCGAAAGCCUGAACUAGCAACGCCGCGUGUGCGAAGAAGGCCUUCGGGUUGUAAAGCACUUUUUGAGAGGAUGGGGAAGGACGGUACUCUCAGAAUAAGUCUCGGCUAACUACGUGCCAGCAGCCGCGGUAACACGUAGGAGGCAAACGUUAUCCGGAUUUACUGGGCGUAAAGCGCGUGUAGGUGGUUUGGUAAGUAGGGCGUGAAAGCUCCUGGCUCAACUGGGAGAGGACGUUCUAAACUGCCAAGCUUGAGGAUGGUAGAGGGAGGCGGAAUUCCGGGUGUAGCGGUGGAAUGCGCAGAUAUCCGGAGGAACACCAGUGGCGAAGGCGGCCUCCUGGACCACUCCUGACACUCAGACGCGAAAGCUAGGGUAGCAAACGG
rnacentral:rRNA from 1 species